AUAUAACUCUCUUCAAUGUAAUGGUCUGGUCAAGGGAUCUCGACUCUUUAGGCAAGAUCCAAUGAACAAGUGUUUUACUCGGUGGGUCUCAUCUCCAUUAAUGGAAAGAUCGUUCAUUGUGCAGAUUUAUCGUAUACUUCUACUGAACACUUCAAGCUCACGCCUGAUUGCUUUAUUAUUACUGAGUUACUUGUCAUUGGAAAAUAAGUGGAAAAUUAUUCUAGACUGGUAAAGGUACUUCUCUUUUCUCGAUAUUUUGGUCUGCAAAGGAUAUUCUACUCUACUAUUGUCUAUUACAUAUGAAUAGUUAUUCGGAGCUGUUAUGUGAUAAUGUAUUUUACAAAAUAUAUAACAAACCUCUUAACUUCUGUAGAAUUAUGUUGAAAUAUCUGAAUGUCAUGGAAAUUCCCAAACUUAUUGAGUCGGGAAUCGUUCUUUAAACAGCCAAAUUGCUUGUCACCAUAUUGGAAUAUUACUCUUGCAAAGAUCUGGGAUCUAAACACGAAUAAAUGAAUUAUUAAAUGUUUUCUAUACUAAAUAAUUAUAAGUUCCUUUACAGAAAACAAUUGUUAAAAUAUAACAAUAUAAUAAUA
rnacentral:lncRNA from 1 species